rnacentral:rRNA from 1 species
GCAAGUCGAACGAUGAAACCUAGCUUGCUAGGUGAAUUAGUGGCGAACGGGUGAGUAAUAUAUAGCUAACCUGCCCCUUAGAGAGGGACAACAGUUGGAAACGACUGCUAAUACCUCAUACUCCUUCUUAUCAUAAGAUAAGUCGGGAAAACUCCGGUGCUAAGGGAUGGGGCUUUACGGUAUCAGGUAGUUGGUGGGGUAAGAGCCUACCAAGCCAAUGACGCCUAGCUGGUCUGAGAGGAUGAUC